rnacentral:rRNA from 1 species
UCGAGCGGACAGAAGGGAGCUUGCUCCCGGAUGUUAGCGGCGGACGGGUGAGUAACACGUGGGUAACCUGCCUGUAAGACUGGGAUAACUCCGGGAAACCGGAGCUAAUACCGGAUAGUUCCUUGAACCGCAUGGUUCAAGGAUGAAAGACGGUUUCGGCUGUCACUUACAGAUGGACCCGCGGCGCAUUAGCUAGUUGGUGAGGUAACGGCUCACCAAGGCGACGAUGCGUAGCCGACCUGAGAGGGUGAUCGGCCACACUGGGACUGAGACACGGCCCAGACUCCUACGGGAGGCAGCAGUAGGGAAUCUUCCGCAAUGGACGAAAGUCUGACGGAGCAACGCCGCGUGAGUGAUGAAGGUUUUCGGAUCGUAAAGCUCUGUUGUUAGGGAAGAACAAGUGCAAGAGUAACUGCUUGCACCUUGACGGUACCUAACCAGAAAGCCACGGCUAACUACGUGCCAGCAGCCGCGGUAAUACGUAGGUGGCAAGCGUUGUCCGGAAUUAUUGGGCGUAAAGGGCUCGCAGGCGGUUUCUUAAGUCUGAUGUGAAAGCCCCCGGCUCAACCGGGGAGGGUCAUUGGAAACUGGGAAACUUGAGUGCAGAAGAGGAGAGUGGAAUUCCACGUGUAGCGGUGAAAUGCGUAGAGAUGUGGAGGAACACCAGUGGCGAAGGCGACUCUCUGGUCUGUAACUGACGCUGAGGAGCGAAAGCGUGGGGAGCGAACAGGAUUAGAUACCCUGGUAGUCCACGCCGUAAACGAUGAGUGCUAAGUGUUAGGGGGUUUCCGCCCCUUAGUGCUGCAGCUAACGCAUUAAGCACUCCGCCUGGGGAGUACGGUCG